CAAGAAACGGAACAGGAAGGAGGAGGAGACAGGGUCUGGUUUAGCUUUCAGGCUUCAAGUGCCACCUGCUGGCAAGAAGGCUCCGUGCAAGGGCUCAUUGGCCCAGAGCCAGAGAAGGGGAGGCUGCGCGAUUCCAGCCUAGACCCAGCCCUACUCCAGAAAAUAGGCCUCCCCAGGGACCUGAGUCGCAUGGAGUGGAGUGGAAUGAACGGCCAGAGACGGAUCAUAACCAUAAAGAGUGACACUGUUGGGAGGCCGAGGUGGGCAAAUCACAAGGUCAGGAGAUCGGGACCAUCCUGGCUAGCACAGAUUAGCACAGACUCUACUAAACUCUACUAAAAAUACAACAAAAAUUUGCCGGGCAUGGUGGCACAUGCCUGUAAUCCCAGCUACUCGGGAGGCUGAGUCAGGAGAAUUGCUUGAACCCGGGAGGUGGAGGUUGCAGUGAACCGAGAUCACGCCACUGCAUUCCAGCCUGGCGACAGAGCAAUCUCAAAAAAAGAAAAAAGAGUGAUACUAGGGAUCUGAAUGUAAUUGCGCAAAGGAAAAGAGCUAUUUAUGCCCAUGAUGUAUUGUUUGUUCUCUGUGUCCUAAGAAUGGGAAUUCUUCCUAGGAAUUAAGAAGGUAUAAUUCACUCUCUUCAUUCUACAACUCUACUGAUCGCCUACCAUGGACCCAAGCACUAAGCAAGGUUUUCAAGGAGUUUGCAUUCUAGUGAGGAAAACAGAAAAUAAGCCAUAAAGUUAAGUACAGGCUGCUACAAGAACACUUAGAAGAGCAGGAGCCAGGCGCAGUGGCUCACACCUAUAACCCCAGC
rnacentral:lncRNA from 1 species